CACUUCUAAGGAAGGCAGCAGGCGCGCAAAUUACCCAAUCCUGACUCAGGGAGGUAGUGACAAGAAAUAACAAUAAACCGGCUUAUGCCGGUUUAAUUGGAAUGAGUACAAUUUAAACAUCUUAACGAGGAACAAUUGGAGGGCAAGUCUGGUGCCAGCAGCCGCGGUAAUUCCAGCUCCAAUAGCGUAUACUAAAGUUGUUGCAGUUAAAAAGCUCGUAGUUGGAUUUCUGUGGGGACGGAGCGGCCGGCCGCAACACGCGGUUCGAGCUAGCGCUUUCCCUACAUCCUGCCGCGAACCGUGCUACCAUUAGUUUGGUGGCGCCGGGGAUCGGCUCGAUUACUUUGAGAAAAAUAGAGUGUUCAAAGCAGGCCACACGCCUUGAAUAAGUUAGCAUGGAAUAAUAACUAAGGACUUCGGUUCUAUUUUGUUGGUGUUCGGGACUGAAGUAAUGAUUGAUAGGGACAGUUGGGGCGGUCUGUAUUCCAAAGCGAGAGGUGAAAUUCUUAGACCUUCGGAAGACAAACAGCUGCGAAAGCGUUCCGCAAGGAUGUUCCCUUUGAUCAAGAACGAAAGUUGGGGGAUCGAAGACGAUCAGAUACCGUCGUAGUCUCAACUAUAAACUAUACCAGCUAGAGAUCGGCCAACGUUAUUCUAUACCGACUUGGUCGGCACCUUAUGAGAAAUCAAAGCAUCUGGGUUCCGGGGGGAGUAUGGUCGCAAGGCUGAAACUUAAAGGAAUUGACGGAAGGGCACCACCAGCCGUGGAGCCUGUGGCUUAAUUUGACUCAACACGGGAAAACUUACCAGGUCCAGACAUAGUAAGGAUUGACAGAUUGAUAGCUCUUUCUUGAUUCUGUGGGUGGUGGUGCAUGGCCGUUCUUAGUUGGUGGAGUGAUUUGUCUGGUUAAUUCCGUUAACGAACGAGGCCCCAGCCUGCUAAAUAGCGCGCGUGAGCUUUGCUCGCGGCGAGCUUCUUAGAGGGACUAUGAUGCGCGAUAGCACAUGGAAGUUUGGGGCAAUAACAGGUCUGUGAUGCCCUUAGAUGUUCUGGGCCGCACACGGGCUACACUGGCGCCUGCAACAAGCAUAUCAGCUGGCCCGAGAGGGUCUUGGCUAAUCUUUUGAACCGGCGCCGUGCUUGGGAUUGACCUUUGCAAUUGUUGGUCAUGCAACGAGGAAUGCCUUGUAAACGCGAGUCAUCAGCUCGCAUUGAAUACGUCCCUGCCCUUUGUACACACCGCCCGUCGCUCCUACCGAUGAAUGUUCCGAUGAAAUUUUCGGAGAGUGCCUGUGAACUUGGCUCUGCCUUGCGAACGGGAGGCUCAAAGUCACUUAAAUCUGAACAUUUCGAGG
rnacentral:rRNA from 1 species